GAUGAACGCUAGCGGCAGGCUUAAUACAUGCAAGUCGAGGGGCAGCACGGGUAGCAAUACCUGGUGGCGACCGGCAAACGGGUGCGGAACACGUACGCAACCUUCCUUUGAGCGGGGAAUAGCCCAGAGAAAUUUGGAUUAAUACCCCAUAAUAUAUUGGAGCAGCAUUGCUCUAUUAUUAAAGAUUUAUCACUCAAAGAUGGGCGUGCGCCUGAUUAGGUAGUUGGCGGGGAACGGCCCACCAAGCCUACGAUCAGUAGCUGAUGUGAGAGCAUGAUCAGCCACACGGGCACUGAGACACGGGCCCGACUCCUACGGGAGGCAGCAGUAAGGAAUAUUGGUCAAUGGACGAAAGUCUGAACCAGCCAUGCCGCGUGGAGGAUGAAGGUCCUCUGGAUU
rnacentral:rRNA from 1 species